CCUACGGGUGGCAGCAGUGGGGAAUAUUGGGCAAUGGGCGCAAGCCUGACCCAGCAACGCCGCGUGAAGGAAGAAGGCUUUCGGGUUGUAAACUUCUUUUAAGAGGGAAGAGCAGAAGACGGUACCUCUUGAAUAAGCCACGGCUAACUACGUGCCAGCAGCCGCGGGAAUACGUAGGUGGCAAGCGUUGUCCGGAUUUACUGGGUGUAAAGGGCGUGCAGCCGGGAAGACAAGUCAGAUGUGAAAUCCCGCGGCUCAACCGCGGAACUGCAUUUGAAACUGUUUUUCUUGAGUACUGGAGACGUCAUCGGAAUGCCUUGUGUAGCGGUGAAAUGCGUAGAUAUAAGGCAGAACACCGAUGGCGAAGGCAGAUGACUGGACGGCAACUGACGGUGAGGCGCGAAAGCGUGGGGAGCAAACAGGAUUAGAUACCCUUGUAGUC
rnacentral:rRNA from 1 species